rfam:Streptomyces griseofuscus strain NG1-7 NG1-17_1_1, whole genome shotgun sequence.
GCGGUGGCCGUGUAGGCGUGGCGGGAGUCGCCGUCCAGGAGGGCUUCCUCGCCGAAGUGCUCGCCGUCCGCGAGGACCGCGAGGGCGACUUCCGCGCCGUACUGGCCGUGGCCGGUCUGGCUGACCCGGCCGUGGGCGAUCAUAUGGAUGCGGUCGGCGGGCGUGCCGCGUUCGACGAGGACCUCGCCGGCGGCGAAGUCGCGCUGGGUGCAGCGGUCGGCGAGGGCGGUGAGGGCGUCGAGGUCCUCGAAGCCCCGCAGCAGGGCCAGUUCACCGAGUUCGCGGGGGAUCACCCGGACCGCGGCACCCUCUUGGACGAACUCGAUGCGUCCGUCGCCCAGGGUGUGGCGCAGCCGCCGGUUGACCCGGUAGGCGCCGCCCUUGGUCUCGACCCAGGGGAGCAUCCGCAGCAACCAGCGGGAGGUGAUCUCCUGCAUCUGCGGGGCGGACUUGGUGGUGGUGGCGAGGUUGCGGGCGGCGGCGGUGCUCAGGGACUGCUGCGGUGCGGCCG